rnacentral:rRNA from 1 species
GAUGAACGCUGGCGGCGUGCCUAAUACAUGCAAGUCGAGCGAACAGACGAGGAGCUUGCUCCUCUGACGUUAGCGGCGCACGGGUGAGUAACACGUGUAUAACCUCCCUAUAAGACUGGGAUAACUUCGGGACACCGGCGCUAAUACCGUAUAAUAUCUUGAACCGCAUGGUUCAAUAGUGAAAGUCGGUUUUGCUGUCACUUAUAGAGGGAUCCACGCCGCAUUGGCUGGUUGUUAAGGUAACGGCCUACCAAGGGGAGGAGGCGUAGCCGACCUGAGAGAGGGAUAGGCCACACGAGAACUGAGACACGGACCAGACUCCUACGGGAGGCAGCAGUAGGGAACCUUCGGCAAUGGGCGAAAGCAUGACGGAGCAACGCCGCGUGAGUGACGAAGGUCUUCGGAUCGUAAAACUCUGUUAUUAGGGAAGAACAAAUGUGUAAGUAACUAUGCACGUCGUGACGGUACCUAAUCAGAAAGCCACGGCUAACUACGUG